rnacentral:rRNA from 1 species
UGGGGAAUUUUGGACAAUGGGCGCAAGCCUGAUCCAGCCAUGCCGCGUGAGUGACGAAGGUCUUCGGAUUGUAAAGCUCUUUUUGGCGGGGACGAUAAUGACGGUACCCGCAGAAUAAAGCCCCGGCUAACUUCGUGCCAGCAGCCGCGGUAAUACGAAGGGGGCUAGCGUUGUUCGGAAUCACUGGGCGUAAAGCGCACGUAGGCGGAUUUGUUAGUCAGGGGUGAAAUCCCGGGGCUCAACCUCGGAACUGCCUCUGAUACUGCAAAUCUCGAGUCCGAUAGAGGUGAGUGGAAUUCCUAGUGUAGAGGUGAAAUUCGUAGAUAUUAGGAAGAGCACCAGUGGCGAAGGCGGCUCACUGGAUCGGUACUGACGCUGAGGUGCGAAAGCGUGGGGAGCAAACAGGAUUAGAUACCCAUGUAGUCCCUGAGCGGGCUGGCAAGGCGCAU